CUUUCUCUUCUUUCUCACACUUUGAUUGCUAUGUAUCCAUAGGUAGAGACCCUCUCUAUUUAUAGAUGAUUUUCAUGAUCCAAUAAGAAUAGGACUCUUAAUUCAAAUAAGCUUUGAAUCAGUUUACAACUUAUCAAAGGAGGAUUUCUACAUGAGAAACGAUUGACGUCUUACAUGGUGCCUACUUUGCACCCACGCCCACACCCAUGUG
rnacentral:lncRNA from 1 species